rnacentral:misc_RNA from 1 species
GUAGGUGAACCUGCGGAAGGAUCAUUAACACGUUUAUGUUCCAUAACGUUUUCUGACCACUUUCUUUUUAUCCGUGAACCAAAAACAAAAACCCGGUUCUUGUUGCUGCUGUGUAGUUUUUGAGGAAGAUUCUUGUAAUUGGACUCAGAGACAACACAACACACAGGAGCCACUUUUUCACCCAACCUUGAAUCUAAUUGUUCUGAACUUUAGUUGAUGGGAAACUGUCAACGAAUAAAAAAUAAACAACAACUCUUAACAACGGAUAUCUUGGUUCUC